rnacentral:rRNA from 1 species
GAUCCUGGCUCAGGAUGAACGCUAGCUACAGGCUUAACACAUGCAAGUCGAGGGGCAGCAUAUCGAAGCUUGCUUUGAUGAUGGCGACCGGCGCACGGGUGAGUAACGCGUAUCCAACCUUCCCUAUACUAGAGGAUAGCCCGGCGAAAGUCGGAUUAAUACUCUAUGCUGUAUUUCGAGGACAUCUGAAUAAUACCAAAGGUUUACCGGUAUAGGAUGGGGGAUGCGUCUGAUUAGGUUGUUGGCGGGGUAACGGCCCACCAAGCCCACGAUCAGUAGGGGUUCUGAGAGGAAGGUCCCCCACAUUGGAACUGAGACACGGUCCAAACUCCUACGGGAGGCAGCAGUGAGGAAUAUUGGUCAAUGGACGAGAGUCUGAACCAGCCAAGUAGCGUGCAGGAUGACGGCCCUAUGGGUUGUAAACUGCUUUUAUACAGGGAUAAAGUGCACUACGUGUAGUGUUUUGUAGGUACUGUAUGAAUAAGGACCGGCUAAUUCCGUGCCAGCCGCGGC